GAUGAACGCUGGCGGCGUGCCUAAUACAUGCAAGUCGAGCGAACAGAUGAGGAGCUUGCUCCUCUGACGUUAGCGGCGGACGGGUGAGUAACACGUGGAUAACCUACCUAUAAGACUGGGAUAACUUCGGGAAACCGGAGCUAAUACCGGAUAAUAUAUUGAACCGCAUGGUUCAAUAGUGAAAGACGGUUUUGCUGUCACUUAUAGAUGGAUCCGCGCCGCAUUAGCUAGUUGGUAAGGUAACGGCUUACCAAGGCAACGUUGCGUAGCCGACCUGAGAGGGUGAUCGGCCACACUGGAACUGAGACACGGUCCAGACUCCUACGGGAGGCAGCAGUAGGGAAUCUUCCGCAAUGGGCGAAAGCCUGACGGAGCAACGCCGCGUGAGUGAUGAAGGUCUUCGGAUCGUAAAACUCUGUUAUUAGGGAAGAACAAAUGUGUAAGUAACUAUGCACGUCUUGACGGUACCUAAUCAGAAAGCCACGGCUAACUACGUGC
rnacentral:rRNA from 1 species